GUAAUUUGUUAAUUAAGACGGGGCCGAAGCGCCCGAAUGAACAUUCGGUAUACAUAACGAGUUUGUGUGGCGAGACGGCCGGGCGCGAACCCGGACCCUCCCAAAGAGUGCACAGGGGUUUGGUUGUGGACGAGGCGAACGGGCGCCAGCAGCACGGCGUCGCCGCCGGCGCGUGGCGGACCCGAACUCCCCUAGAAGUUUCAAUAAUGAUCCUUCCGCAGGUUCACCUACGGAAA
rnacentral:misc_RNA from 1 species